AAUAUGAAUUGUACACCUAUUUGAUAGGUUGUUCGUUUUAAAUUUGCUAGUAAGAUGAUGGUUUAAGUAUAAGUUGAGUUUGUGGUGAUGUCACAGCAUCUAAAUGGAAAUAUUCAUACACACACGUAAGGGAAGGAUGUCAAGAAGGGACAGAGUGGGCUGAACUAUCCCAGAUUGGAUUUGUGAUGUAUGAGAAAUCUGCCUUUAAUGUGAACAUAUCUUCAUCAUGGCAGGAUACUCUCCUAUUGGAGGCCUUCCAAGACCCUUAAUGAAGCCCCACCUCUAAGGAUAGUUGUACAAUUAGGAGUGUUAGUGACUAACCUAUGAGCAAUGAGCAAAUCAUGGGCAGAUAAUGUUUUGUGUACAAAAUUUUUUCCAUCCAGACUAAACCACUGAUGUAAACUCUAGAACCCUCUCCCAUGUCCCACAAGGGAUUUUGCACUAAGAUUCAGCACUAAGGGGAUUAUUGGUGACCUCAGAAACAGCAAUUACUUGCAUGUUUGUUGCAGGGACAGAUCACUAUGAAGCAGAGAGAAUGUGAAGGAUGGAGGUAGAAAAAACAGGUGAAGACAAUUCACUCAAACAGUUUGGCUGAGAAGGAAGAAAGACAUGGUAGCAGCUAGAGAUGAAAAGAAAUACAUGAAGGACUUCAUUUUUAUUUCCAAAUGAUUUUGAUGGUGGUUAUCGGUAUAUGUGUUUUAAAAUAGAAGAGAAUUCACAAGAGCCAGUAGAAGGAAGAAGUUGAAGAUGAAAACGAGAGGUUAAGGGAUGGAAUGAAUCUUCACAAGAGGCAAAAUCCAGAGCGGGAAGAAUUGAGUACAGGUAUUCAUAGCAUGCCAACAGCAUAUAGGACACAAAUCAUAAAGGAAACAGAAUCCCUGCUCAGUAAAGUGUUGCCUUAAUAAGAGGGAACCCUGGUGCAGCAUGCAAAGCACCCCUGCCCCUGUCUCCCAAGGAAGGAGCGUCUGUCCACCAGGGAGUGGGACAUGCAGGCAAGUUGUUAAGGCUUCCCAUUUCCUGAUAGCUGUUUGCUGAACCUUUACUCUCGGCUAAGGACCCGGUAAGUGAUUCUUUUGCAUUAUUCAUUUUAAUUCUCCCUAAGUAUAAUGAAUUAGGCAUCAGUAUUUCCAUUUUUAAGAUUUAGAAAACAAUACCAGCAACUAUACCCCAACAUGAAUAAACUGAGAUUUGGAGAGCUAAGUGGUGUGCCUUCCAGCACACAGCUACUGUGACACCAGGACUCUAAUUCAGAACUUCACAUGUGUCCUGUUCCGUGGGUAGGCCACCCUCAACACUUCUGCAUCUACUCUCUUAAAUGUUGGGCACUCUGGGACCAUUACUAGGUUUUACGCUCCUUCACAGGCAAGACCCAUGUCUUAUUAACCUUACUUCUUUUAUACUAGCGAUCUGUACACAGUAGAAGUUAAAUAAUUUUAGUAAAGUGAACUGUACAUAGUAGAAAUUCAAUAAUUGCUAAAUUAAUUUUUAUAAAUGUGGUUUUACUAUUUUAUUCCUAGAUCUUUGUAAACCUUAAAUAAGCAUCUUGGUAUUCUAAUCAAAUUUGACAGAGGUGGGUAAUAUAAUCAUUCAUUUUAUAUCUCCAUUUCUACAGCUCUUUCAAUAUUAGAGAAGAAAUCCUAAGUUAGACAGAAGCAUUUCAAGCUUUAGAAGCAUAAGAAAAUUACAAGUACAGUUUUUUAUUUAUUGAGCACUUCCUACUUACCAGGCACAGCUAAAGCAGCUUCACUACCUUAACUCUGCAUAGCAGUUAAAAGCACAGACUCAAGGCGUGCCUGGGUGGCUCAGUCAGUUAAGUGUCCGACGCCGGCUCAGGUCAUGAUCUCCCAGUUCAUGAGUUCGAGCCCCACGUCAUGCUCCAUGCCGACAGCUCAGAGCCCAGAGCCUGCUUCAGAUCUGUGUGUCCCUCUCUCUCUGCCCCUCCCCCACUUAGACUGUUUCUCUCUCAAGAAAUAAACAUUAAAAAAAUUAAAAAAAAAAAAAAGGCACAGACUCAAAAACCAGAUAGACUGCCUUCAAGUUCUCCUACCAUUUACUAGCUGUGUUUCUUUGGGCAAAUUAUCAGACCUCCCUCUGUCUGAGAUACACAGUAGGUACUAUAUAUAUAUAUUUUGCUUUUUACUAGCUUGUUCAAUGUUUCCAAAAUCACCCAUUAAAACCUAUCUCCCUCUUCUUCGUUUAGUUAAUUUUAAAAUCAAGGAGAAUGUAGUGUUUUUUGAAAUUUCCUCAAAAGUAAUAUACGUCUACAUUUCAAACUAUUCACAAAAAAUCAAGAGCUAGACACCAGAGUGUUUUUUCCCUCUGAUACCAUAAUAGAUUUUUAAUACAACUUAAAUCAUAAUUAAAUACCCAAAUGAAUAUGUUGCCCUAAAUGUACAAUCACACUUGUAAGAAACAGUCACUACCCAUGGAAACCUCAUUCAAAGGCAAACACCAAGCUGAAAAGACUGCAAUUGCAGGCUGAUGGUUCCGAAUCCACUCAGCUGAUGCCCGAACCACUUAAAGGAGUGGGUCUGAAUUUUUAGGGGUGAUUGCUAAAGGUGAAUAUUUGGGCAAUAAAGAAUCAGGAGCAAUUCCAAGCCUCUUCCUCAGUAAAGCCAGGAAAGCUUCUUAGAAAAGAAAGGUUUAGGCAGUUAUCCCCAUAUGAAAAGAUAUAAAAGAGGCAGAAGAUUUCAAAUAGACAUUAUAAAAUUUCUUAAUAACAGGAAUUACUAUGUACUCCCACAGUACAGCUCACCCCUGGGCCAGUAUUAAAACCUACUAACACAUUCAUUUUGGACCCAUCAUAAGCAGUUUUGGGAAAUCAGAAGCCCAUUUUCAAUGUAAGCCCCAUCUAUACAGGACUACUCUGCUAGCCGUUUAGACUAAAUUGACAGGUUGAUUCAAAAGGGGAAAUAGACUAAAUUGACAGGUUGAUUCAAAAGGGGAAAAAUAUGGAAAUAACAUUUGCCUCUGAACUGACCAAGCAUGUGAUUGAAGUAACCAAGUCCACAGGUUGUUUCUCUGAAUCGCAUAGAAAAAGCUUGAAUGAAGUAGCCCAUAACUUGUGAGUAGAUGGAUAAAAUCAAACCUUAGCACAUACCCCAUGGGCAUACCUUCGGUUAGAAGUCACAGAAAGGAACAGUCUGAAUCCCUUUGGAAACUCAUGUCACACUAAGGUCUGUCAGAGCUCCCAUUAGGGGGUUCAACUGGCACUGGUCGAACUAUUAGGGAUCCUUACAUAGGUAAGAGAAGCUGGGAGUUGGUAAAACUGUCCGGGAUCAGGUGAUAUUUAUUGCUCUCAGCAUCCUCCAUUUCCUUAUUCACCAAAUAAGGAAGUAUCAAGAGACUGCACUAGUGGAUGACCGAUGAUCUAAAAUAUUUUGUCUUCCCUUUUCCCCUAGAUCAGUAGUCCUCAAAUUUUAGUGCCUAAGAAUCAUUGUGUGUUCGGUUAGAUGCAGAAUCCCAGGCCUCCUAAGAUUCAGUAUGUCCAGGCUAGGGUUCAGAAAUCAAUAUUCUUAAUAAGCGCCUUAGGUGAUUCUGCUGAGGGGGGCAGUCUUGAGCCUAUGCUUUAAGAAACUCUGCCCUGGCUCUGUGUGGGAUUUGCCUGUUCAAUUGAUCCUGGAUAUAAAGCGAAAUAUAAGAGGAUGAUGAAAGCUAGGAAGAAAGAAGACCCCCGGGGACAAUCAGAGCCAAAGACACAGUCACAGUGGCCAGUUGAUUUGGCCAGAUGAUGGGGAGGCUGGAAGUGGGGGCAGGUGGAGGGGGCACUGAGAAAUACUGCAAUGGGAAGAGGCAGUUUCUCUGUCAUCGAAGCUCUGUUGUGGAUGCCUCUAUUCUGCAUCCAAGUCUUAGUUUCUGUGUCCUCCAUGCGGGCAUCACAACGUAAAUAAAAAUCUCCUAAUAAUCUGCAAGCAAAACUACUCUCUCAAGUUCCCCCCAGGACCUUCCAAAAGGCUAAAAGUCCUGAGAAGGGCUUCCCGGGACCAAUAACAUCUUCAUCAUUGAUUUCAUGAGAGAAACAUUAAGUAGAAAUUAGAUCUUGCUCAUAAUGUGCAAAUUUUGCCAUUAAACAUUUGUAGCUUCACAGGGAAUUUUCCCUUUGGUUAUAUAGCAGUGGGGCUGUUUUUCUCAUGUGUUAAGUAAAAACAUUUGCAUCAUCUCACUUUCCUGGCUCCAUCUCAAUGACAGAUAUUUAGCGAAAGCAAAUAAGGCUUCACCAUAUUUUCUUUUAGUAAUUAAGGACCUGUUAAGUUUGUCAAUUUAGAAAACUUUUUGGAUUCCUGUCUAAAAUCUCAUGACAUAUUCAUUUAAACUAAAAGCAGAUGCUUGCUUUGAAAAAGUAUUGACAUUUUGGGAGAAUUUAGGAAAUGCCAGCAACAGAAAUAAAUGGAAUUGGCAAUCCACUUGGCAGCAGUAAAAUUUCCCAUUAACCACCGUGUGAACUUGGGAGUGCUGGGGAGCUCCCUUAAUUACUAUUCCAUUGUUGGAGUGUUGUGUUGUUGUUGUGUCCCAAAAUGAUGUCUCUCACAAAGGAAAAAGAUGAUUUUUUUUAGGGUUGGGGGGAACAUAUAGACUUGACCAGCUCUUCUGAAAAACUGAAUUGUAAAAGUCAAGUUGUAAAUGUCUGAUAGAUGAUCUUUUCAAUGCAUACAUUUUUCUAUGGUUCUACUAUUGGUAUUUUCUAUGGUUCUAUUGGAUCUUACUUUAUGCAGCCUCUUUUAUGUUCAGGUUUACUGAGCACAUCUCUAGGCAAUGCCCUGGAAAUAUAGUAUCUAGUUUACUGGUGGUCACGCUAAUAGUUCUACAUAAAAACGUGAGUUUUUAUGGAAGCCACACAGGAAAACUGUCUGGAGAAUAGAUUCAUAUUAUGUGGUGAUGAAGAAUGAAUUUUUUUUUCAAUUCAAAACUAUGAUCACUAUAAUUAGCAUUCAGAGAGUAGAUCACCUGUACCUCACACCCUCCGCAACACAGGUGGGUUUGCAGGAUUAGAUUGAGGUCAAUGCAGCCACAACUGGGAGGCAGUUAGGAUGCCCACGCUGUGCGGUGCGAGUGGUCAAUCUUUGGUUGCCUUUAACACCUCUCUCCACAGCUAAAAACUGAGGAACAGAAUGGUGGAAAGUUCUGACGCUAUCUAGUUACAGAGCAGCAGAGAUGGAGACACAGUUCACAUCAAAGACCUCAUGCAGGAGCUGGCACAGCGUAGGUCUUGAGGAAAUGUUCAUCUGGGAUCCCUCCCCUUUCACUGCUAUAGAAGGCUCUUGAUGUCUUGACCAGCUCCAUGGGGUGGCUGCCCUGAACCCCAAAGCAGGAUGACUGCCCCAUCGUGCCCCUGCUCCCGCACAUACGGAGCCAGUUCUGUGCCACGAGUGCACGAAGGUGAGUAGGAAGUGAAGGGAAAUACUCCUAAGCCAGCAUCACUUCGGAGCUCACACAAUAUCUCUGCUAAGCCCUUCCAUGAUUUGAAGGAAUGCAUAGAAACAAUGCUCCCAGUGUGGUAUCUGGAGAAGAAGACAGCUGAGUAUAGCCUGAUUUAGCCAGGAUUCACUUACCCCAUAGACAAGGGGUCACUGUGAUGAUGCAAUUGAUGAAUGCACAUUCCUGGUUUUAGGCUCAGGCUGAUUGCUGUCUAAAUCCCAGCUCUGCCCUCAUUAGCUGUAGGACCUGGAUUAGAUGUUCUACCGCCACGAGCCUCAGUGGCGAAACCUGUGAAAUGUGCACACGGAUCCCUCCCCCCCAGGCUCCUGUUAGGGUGCAGUAAAGGCACACAGGCUUGGAGAAGUGUCUGGCACAAGGGCAGAUGCAAUAAAUGUUAGCUCUACUUGCUCAACGUUUUGGCCAGAUUCCCAUCUGGAAUUGCCACCGGAUGCCUCACAAUUUACUUCUCAGCACAAACAGAAUGCUGUCCCAGUGCUUCUACUCCAUCUGAAGAGAAAAGGGACUUGCAAGUUCCUUUCUGGUCUUUCUCUUCCCCUGCACUGAAGAGAUCAGAAACUUGGAGUCAUAGUUAAAACCACAGAUUCUUGCAGCUACAGAGAUUUACGGGAUCGCCUGCUCCCACCCCUUAUUUCAAAAAGGAGACUGAGUCUCAAGGAGGUUGAAUAUUGCCCAAAGCUGUUCAAUUGCAGGGGUGGAAAAUGCGUUAUCUACUUCUGAUUCAUUAUUAAUUUUAUACCAAGAAGCUGAGCUUCAAAUUGGCAGUGGGAAAUUAUGUCCCUGGGCUAAUAAUUAAUAAUAGCUAAAACUUAUUUCGUCUUCAUGGGGGUCUAGGUCCUAUGUUAAGUACUUAUAUGCAUUCUCAUGUUUAGUACUCAUGAAAACAAGUCACAGUAUUAUUUCCACUUUGUGAGUGAGUAAUUAGAGGCAGCGAAAAAUAAAAUUGUUUUCCCAAGGUCACACACUGCUACACGGUGUAUAGAUCCAAACUCACUAAAUUCUACAGCUCCUGGUCCUGAGGAGAGAUGCAGACACAGCGUGACAGAUGUAACAGAAAGUGCUGGCUACUGAGUUCCCACUUCACAGAGCUUACUGCUCCCAACCCUGGCAGCCCGGUUCCGUCUGUAAUGGGAGAGUGAUAGUGCCUGUCCCCUGCCCACCCUGAGCGGGCAGGUGUGUGAGGCCUGAGGAAGAGCUUAGUAAUUCAUCAUUCAAGUGUCAGUUUUUCACAGGCUAGUCACCUGUUGGAGGAGAGGUAGCAGAAAGGUUGGGGGCAGAGAGCCCUGCAAUGCUUCCCGGCAGACAGGUGGUACCGUAUGAAAGCAGCAGGCUGGGUCCUCGAGGGAGGGGAACACGGGAGGAAGACUCUAAGGCAAGCUUCAUGCCCCCAUGGAGCUUCCUGGCCUGACCCUGCAGGCCACAGAUAAGUAGAGAACAUGCAUAUUCCUCUUUCUGCCCUUCGUGUUUCCCCUCCUGGUUGACACAGGGCUAAAGAUAGACUUGAAAGCCUCUGAUGAUCUUUAACAACUCACAUCCCAAAUUUAGCCUCGGUGUCAGGACAAAAUUGAUCUACUGGAUUUAAGAUAAAAAAAUUGAGAUGUUUGGUCCCCUAAGGUAACACAAUGCAUGCUAGGAGAAAUUUCCAAUGGUUACCCUCAUUUCCCUCUUUUUCGAAAGUUUUUUUUUAACUUUUACAAAUGUUUAUUCAUUUUUGGGGAGAGAGAGAGAGAGAGAGAUAG